ACACAACCCCCCACUCAUAAGCGUAACACAUACACACACAGAGACAAGAGAGAAAGAGAAGAGAGUCCGAAGGAGAAAGAGAGUCCGCAAAGGGAGAGUGAGGGACGGUGAAGAGAAGUCGCGCCAACCCGCAACGCCACUGCGUCGUCGCCUCCGUUGAGCGGUCACCAUCAUCGUGCGAGAAAGGAGAAGAGCCGUUGAGGGGUCGCUGAGCCGCUGCAGUCGCCGUCGCGUGCGUUUUUUGUCACAGAAGCUUCCAUUUUCGUCACUUUCAUGUUGCGGAGAGAAAGAACUACGCAUGAGCCAGGGGCCAGGGAAAGGGAGCCACCGCUGUUGCAUCCUGCCUAUGCCGCCGUUCAAUCCCAUCGCCAUCCAUAAAGUCGCAAGGAGCAUUUGUCGUUGUUGAUUGAUGGUGCCAGCCUCGUUGUCGCGUCUGUAAGGAGAAAAGGUCACGUGGAGGAUGGAGAGCCGCUGCGUGCCGCCGUUGUUUCACCGUGGCCAUGGAGAGGAACGUGAAUGGAAAAGGAAACAGGGAAGCUGCUACUUGGGAUUUGAGGAAAAUGGCUCUGUUUUGCCUCGCCUCUAGGUUCUGCAAGUUGCGAGAGUCCUCAGCCGCCGGGAACCAGCACUGGAGCUGCCCAGAAUCACUACUGCUGCUCUCAUCGGAGCUGGUAUUGGAACCACUGAUGGAGCUGCUGUGUUUAGUGAUUUUCACGAGUUGUGACAUCGAGUUUAAGAUAGCCCUUUUUUCUACGUUUCAUUUUCUUCAUGAUUGAAAUUGUAGAUAAAUGCUUUUGCCAUGACACAAUGGAACAGAUUGUUGAUUCUUUGUUGUAGUGUCUUAUCUCGCAAGUCACCAGGAAGCCCCAAAUCGCCACUCACCAUCGUCGCACCAUCAUCAUCGCUGCAUUCUUCCCGGUGUCGCUGCCUCCUUCUUCCCGGUGUCGCUGAGUCUCUCUGUGGCGUCGCUGCUUCUCCCCUCUCGGAGGCUUCACCGCUUCUCCACGGCGUCCUUGCUUCUCCCCUGUUCUGUUUCUACCUCGCUGCUUCUUCUUCACUGUCUUGGCUGAUUGUGGAUUGUGCUUAGCUGCUGCUGCUUCGCUGCAUUGGCCGUUUGUGGGUUGUCAUCUGUGGAAAACUAUGUUGAAGGGGAAAUCGAACUUCAUUAAGGUCAAACUUUUAAGAGCAAAUGUUACAGAGUAAAAGUCAUGAACUUGUGGAUCGGACAUGAUGAUAAAUCUAUUUGCUACUUAGCUAGUUCAACUCUUCUUUGUUAUAUUUUUUGCAACAUUAGAUGAUAUAGUUCGAGGUUGUCAUGAUAGUAUAUAUAUUGUGGUAUUUUGAAUGUGAUUGUGGAUCUUACAACAAUUUUUAUAAGUCA